AUUGAACGCUGGCGGCAUGCCUAACACAUGCAAGUCGAGCGAGCGGCGGACGGUGGAGUAAUGUCUGGGAAACUGCCUGAUGGCGGGGGAUAACUACUGGAAACGGUAUCUAAUACCGCAUACCAUCAGAUUUGCCCAGUUGGGGUUAGCUAGACGGUGGGGUAACGGCUCACCUAGGCGACGAUCCCUAGCUGGUCUGAGAGGAUGAUCAACCACACUGGAACUGAGACACGGCCCAGACUCCUACGGGAGGCAGCAGUGGGGAAUAUUGGGCAAUGGGCGCAAGCCUGAUGCAGCCAUGCCGCGUGUGUGAAGAAGGCCUUCGGGUUGUAAAGCACUUUCGGUGGGGAGGCGGUACCUAAAGAAAAAGCAACGGCUAACUCCGUGCCAGCAGCCGCGGUAAUAC
rnacentral:rRNA from 1 species